UUUUUUUUUUUUUUUUUUUUUUUGUCUUUUUAGGGAAGACCUAUGGAAGUUCCCAAACUAGGGACCAAAUUGGAGCUGCAGCUGCCAGCCUAGGCCACACCCACAUCUAUUCCAUCUGGGACCUCCACCACAGCUCAUAGCAACACUGGAUCCUUAACCCACUGAGCAAGGUCAGAGAUUGAGCCUGCAUCCUCGUGGAUACUAAAUGGGUCUAUUACCUCUGAGCCAUGAGAAGAACCCCUAUUCACAUAUUGUGAUGUUGAAAUUUUCCCGAGAAUAAUUUCCUACAUGUUUUUCUUUCCUGUGGUAGAGAGCAGACCACCAUUUACUGGCUAUACAUUCAAAAUGAAUGUCUGGGAGUUCCUGUCGUGGCUCAGUGGUUAACGAAUCUGACUAGGAACCAUGAGGGAACUCCAGAGAACUUAUAGACAUUUUACUCCCAUAUUCAUACUCUAUGAUACUCUACAAAAAUGGAAUGAAUUGACAGGACGAAAAAUACUGGUAAAGUCACACCAUACUGAACAAAUGAAAAACAGUAAUUUUAUGAUCCCAUUCGUUAAAAGUUUUGAAACAAGCGAUUGAAACUCCAGUCGUUGAAUAUUUUCCACAGACGGGCAAAACUAUCAAGAAAAGCAAGGACAUGUUUACUUGAACAUCAGAUAAUACGUUAACUUUGGGGGGAUGGGGUUGUUUUGGAAGCACAGGCGGCUUCUAGGGGCUUAUUCGCACAUCUAGACCUGAGCGGUGAACGGAUAUUAAUUUUAGAGUUGCUUAUGCAACUGCAUAUGGAGGUUCCGCGCAAUUUUUUUCUACGCAGGUUAUAUUUCAAAAUUCGGAAAGCCAAGGUUUGGGGAGAUAAAUACAUAUAAACACGGGACACUGGUACGAGAACAAUGAUAAGAACAAAAAUACUGCGGCAUGAGAAGAGCGGGGAGAGGGACCGGAGGAUGCAGCACUUACCAGAGGCGGGCCCAUCAGCGCGUCCGCCGCCAGGGGAGUCUGUGCGCGAAGGUGCGGCCUAGGCAUCGCCGCAAAGCGCCUUCCCGAUUCGCUUCUCUUAGGCGGGUCAGCGGUCCCAAAGCUCGGGGAACAGAUCCCAAUUUACAAAAUGUCGCCCAU
rnacentral:lncRNA from 1 species